AGCAAUGGUGCACAACAGAACGCUCUAUGCCAGACUUUACCCACAGGGGCCCAAAGUCACAGUCGAGCUGUUCCUGGAAAAGGGAAAGCUUGGAGCUAUGAGGAGGGGUGCAUCAGUGUCUUUGAGACUGGCCCAGAACGGACACGCAAAACACAACAAACUGAAGAAUGUUGGGCUCAUGAAAAUAAGCACAAGUCAACUUAAAAUGAAGAAACAGGAGUCUGAGUGGGAGAAAUACCUCAUCUCGUGCUAUACUCCAAGUAAGAAGUAAUUCAGAGAGUAGGGAAUGUUUCAGAUCCUAUGUAACUUUGUUUGGCAUGUCUUGACAGCCAAUGAACCAUUUAAAAUGUAAAUACAAAUGAAACGCACCAAU